rnacentral:rRNA from 1 species
UGCAGUCGAGGGGUACAGGAGUAGCUUGCUACUUGCUGACGACCGGCGCACGGGUGCGUAACGCGUAUAGAAUCUACCUUGUACUAGGGGAUAGCCUUUGGAAACGAAGAUUAAUACCCUAUAGUAAGUAUUUAUGGCAUCAUUUAUACUUUAAAGGUUACGGUACAAGAUGACUAUGCGUCCUAUUAGUUUGUUGGUGAGGUAACGGCUCACCAAGACUUCGAUAGGUAGGGGCCCUGAGAGGGGGAUCCCCCACACUGGUACUGAGACACGGACCAGACUCCUACGGGAGGCAGCAGUGAGGAAUAUUGGACAAUGGAGGCAACUCUGAUCCAGCCAUGCCGCGUGCAGGAUGACGGCCCUAUGGGUUGUAAACUGCUUUUAUGUAGGAAGAAACACUCUCACGUGUGAGAGCUUGACGGUACUACAAGAAUAAGGACCGGCUAACUCCGUGCCAGCAGCCGCGGUAAUACGGAGGGUCCAAGCGUUAUCCGGAAUCAUUGGGUUUAAAGGGUCCGUAGGCGGGCUAUUAAGUCAGAGGUGAAAGUUUGCAGCUCAACUGUAAAAUUGCCUUUGAAACUGGUAGUCUUGAAUUA